AUUUGACGUCACCCACUGACUUCCAUAUUAGGAAAACAACUAUGGAAAUAAAUAAAUAAACUUAUACAAGGCUCAACAUUAAAGUAAUCCAGUGACUCCAUUAGGUUAAUAUGUGUCUUCUUAAGGGAAAAAAAUGCGUUUGUGAGGAAAAAAACAACUAAUACUUUGAGCUUAUUUAGCGAUCGAUAGGUCACGUAUCCAUGGCAACAUGCAUAUCAGCGCGCGCGGUAAAUUCAACAUGGCGGCGAUAACGUUGAGCCAUCCGGGAUGACACUAAUGCAAGACAUGCGGAGCAGAUGGUGUAUUGAAGUCCACACUGAAGGAAGACACCCAUCCGUGUGCCAGAGCAGAAGAGAUCCACACCCCAUCCAAAACUGAAAAAAAGAUGUCUGUUGUUCCCCACCCCACACUCGCCCCUUUACUGAAGACCAUCUGCACCCAUUGUCUGGGGCAGGGACGAGGCUCCACCACCCCCUAUAUACACACAUACUCUCUCUUUCUUUCUUUCUCUCUCUCUUUGAAAAAGGGGGUAGGGGUCCUUGAUUCCAACCGCAAUGAAGAAAAAUGACUUAUUGAGCGGUUAAAAGACAGAAGCCUAUUAAAAACUCAAAGGAACUAAUUCCUUUAAAACCCUCCAGCAUGAUCUGUACAGCUGUGCUGCUCCCUUCCGCAUAAAAUCCAAACUUUUAUCUUUUUUAAAUGGCGCCUCCUCCAACCCUUUUAAAAUAAUAUGACAGUGGAUCUGUGGGACUUGGAUAGAAGCAAACAAAUUGGUCACUAUUGUUCUGUGGUUCCUAAAAUCUUUGUGAAAUAUGAGUCGGUUAUGUGCUGAAGUCUUUACACACAGAAAUGGUUGACUAUCAGCAAAGCAGGAUGAAAUGUUUUAUGACACCUACGUUUUGAAAUGAACAGGCAGGAAAAUUCUUCUAACGUACCCACAAACAAAUAAUUUUAUUAUAAAAUACCAGUAUGUUGUCGUCUAUUUGUGGGUCAGCAUAGUGAUGGCGAAGCUCCACAAAGCACAUACA